AGACAUAGCGAAGGUUCGCCGGCAAAGCUACAUACGGGAAAGGAGAUUGUCUAAUCUCGAGAUUUUCCAACUCGCUUUGGGGAAAGUCCCCGGACAAACUUUGCAGAAAGUGCUGACCAUAAAGGUCAAUCGGCAAUUGGGCAAGAUUUAGCCAAGAAGCUUUACAGCUGAGCGUACAAAUUUUGCCCAUUCUGCCAAGUUGUCGAAGCACAGUCAUGCGAACGAGCGUGCACUCAUCUCGAGUCCAUGCUUAACACAACGGGGCUUAUUCUCGUUAUGUC
rfam:Trichoplax adhaerens TRIADscaffold_4 genomic scaffold, whole genome shotgun sequence.